GGGUGAUAGCCCCGUACACGAAAAAUCUCUUAGUCAAUGAAAUCGAGUAGGACGGGGCACGUGAAACCUUGUCUGAAYAUGGGGGGACCAUCCUCCAAGGCUAAAUACUACUGACUGACCGAUAGUGAACCAGUACCGUGAGGGAAAGGCGAAAAGAACCCCGGAGAGGGGAGUGAAAUAGAACCUGAAACCGUAUGCGUACAAGCAGUGGGAGCCCACUUUUGUUGGGUGACUGCGUACCUUUUGUAUAAUGGGUCAGCGACUUAUAUUCAGUGGCGAGCUUAACCGAAUAGGGGAGGCGUAGCGAAAGCGAGUCUUAAUAGGGGCGCUUUAGUCGCUGGGUAUAGACCCGAAACCGGGCGAUCUAUCCAUGGGCAGGUUGAAGGUUAGGUAACACUGACUGGAGGACCGAACCGACUACCGUUGAAAAAGUUAGCGGAUGACCUGUGGAUCGGAGUGAAAGGCUAAUCAAGCUCGGAGAUAGCUGGUUCUCCUCGAAAGCUAUUUAGGUAGCGCCUCGUGUAUCACUGCUGGGGGGUAGAGCACUGUUUCGGCUAGGGGGKCAUCCCGACUUACCAAACCGAUGCAAACUCCGAAUACCAGCAAGUGUCAGCACGGG
rnacentral:rRNA from 1 species